GGCGGCAUGCCUAACACAUGCAAGUCGAACGAAGGCUUCGGCCUUAGUGGCGCACGGGUGCGUAACGCGUGGGAAUCUGCCCUUGGGUUCGGAAUAACAGUGAGAAAUUACUGCUAAUACCGGAUGAUGACUUCGGUCCAAAGAUUUAUCGCCCAAGGAUGAGCCCGCGUAAGAUUAGCUAGUUGGUGAGGUAAAGGCUCACCAAGGCGACGAUCUUUAGCUGGUCUGAGAGGAUGAUCAGCCACACUGGGACUGAGACACGGCCCAGACUCCUACGGGAGGCAGCAGUGGGGAAUAUUGGACAAUGGGCGAAAGCCUGAUCCAGCAAUGCCGCGUGAGUGAUGAAGGCCUUAGGGUUGUAAAGCUCUUUUACCAGGGAUGAUAAUGACAGUACCUGGAGAAUAAGCUCCGGCUAACUCCGUGCCAGCAGCCGCGGUAAUACGGAGGGAGCUAGCGUUGUUCGGAAUUACUGGGCGUAAAGCGCACGUAGGCGGCCAUUCAAGUCAGAGGUGAAA
rnacentral:rRNA from 1 species